rnacentral:pre_miRNA from 1 species
CGACUGCUGUCUGAUAUGUUUGGUAUAUAAGGUUGUAUUUGUGGAGACCCAACUAUAUAUCAAACAUAUUCUCACAGAGG